UUCUUUUGCGUUUUGCAAGCUCUAACUGUUAAUUAAAGCGUGACUUAGCAGUCCAAAGCGG
rnacentral:tRNA from 1 species